UCGAGAAUCUUCGGCAAUGGACGCAAGUCUGACCGAGCGACGCCGCGUGUGCGACGAAGGCCUUCGGGUUGUAAAGCACUUUCGGAGGGGAGAAAAACUGAUCGAUCCUCAAAAGAAGCACGGGCUAAAUUCGUGCCAGCAGCCGCGGUAACACGAAUCGUGCGAACGUUGUUCGGAAUCACUGGGCUUAAAGGGCGCGUAGGCGGGUGGCCAAGUCCGAGGUGAAAUCCCACAGCUCAACUGUGGAACUGCCCCGGAUACUGGCUGUCUUGAGGGAGGUAGGGGCGUGUGGAACGUUUGGUGGAGCGGUGAAAUGCGUUGAUAUCAAACGGAACUCCGGUGGCGAAGGCGACACGCUGGGCCUUUUCUGACGCUGAGGCGCGAAAGCUAGGGUAGCGAAGAGGAUUAGAUACCCCCGUAGUCC
rnacentral:rRNA from 1 species